GACGAACGCUUGCGACGUGCCUAAGAAAUGCAAGUCGAACGGGGGAGCAAUCCCUAGUGGCGAACGGUCGCGUAACACGUGGGCAACCUGCCCUGAAGCGGGGGACAACAAGUCGAAAGAUUUGCUAAUACCGCAUGUGUCUCGCUGUGGCAUCACAGAGGAGACAAAGCCGCAAGGCACUUCAGGAUGGGCCCGCGGCCUAUCAGCUUGUUGGUGAGGAACGGCCCACCAAGGCUUCGACGGGUAGCUGGUCUGAGAGGACGAUCAGCCGGAUUGGGACUGAGAUACGGCCCAGACUCCUACGGGGGGCAGCAAUUAGGAAUCUUGCACAAUGGGCGAAAGCCUGAUGCAGCGACGUCGCGU
rnacentral:rRNA from 1 species